UCACAAUUCAUUAAAUAUUAGCUAAGUGUAGCUAACCACACAUUGCAGAAAGCAGCUUUGAGAUUCCCUUUGGUUAGCUAGCAAGUGGUUGCUAGGUGGAGCUGGAUGAAGAUUGCUGGCUACUUAGUUAGCUAGCCAGCGGCAAUGCAUAAAAUCGGUGUCUUGUGCAAAGCUUACUAAACGCUUUAAAUUCACGCUUGCAUAAGUAGUUCAUUUAGCUGGCUAGCUAAAUAAGUCUAGUGAACGUCUUGACCCCCCCACAUGAAGUCAUAAGCCUCUGGCUACCAGUAAAAGGCGUAGGCUGGUGGUAGCAGUUGUUCACAUCACUGUCCAGUUUAUUACUUGACCGCUUGUUUACAGGCAUUUACGGCACGGUCUGUUCCAUCCUAGUUGCAUCCAACUACGAAAUCGGCCGGUCAUGGAAGUCAAUGGGUGCGAUGAUCAUCGUAGUUAGGAAAUACUUGCAGAGAGAGGUGAAGGCGCAUAUGGCAAAGUGUACAGGGCCAGAGAGGUCUGCGAUCAACAGCGACUUGUAGCAGUGAAGAAGGUGAACAGACACGGAGAGUGGCCUUCCUGCUUUCAUGAUCCGGGAGGUGGCGCUCUUGCGUAAGAUCGGGUAUUUCAACCAUCCCAACAUUGUAAAAACAGGAGUUUGGACCUGACGCUGGUGUUUGAGUACAGAGACCAGGACCUGUCUACCUUCCUCACCAUGGUCCCCAGCACUGGACUGAGUCUUGACAAAAUUAAGUAUGUGGUGAUGCAGCUGCUGCAUGGGCUGGACUUCCUGCACACCAACAUGCUGGUGCACCGCGAUCUGAAGCCGGAGAAUGUACUGGUUAGGAGCCGUGGAGAAG